rnacentral:lncRNA from 1 species
CAACUUUAUAUACCAAAUAUACCUUGGCCGCAGUAUGGGCUAUAGUAUAAAUUUUGCUCUAUCUUUACAAAUUGAGCAUUUAUGAAGGUUGUAUUGAAAUUGGUACUUGAAAAUUGGAAACAUUACAUGUUUAUUACAAAAAAAGUUGGAAAAGAAGUAAAAAAAUCCCUUAUAGGGGUAAAUUCAGUAAAUAAAUAUACGUCAUCAGGGACC